rnacentral:rRNA from 1 species
AGAGUUUGAUUAUGGCUCAGGACGAACGCUGGCGGCGCGCCUAACACAUGCAAGUCGAACGGAGCUUGUUGGAAUGAUCCUUCGGGAGAAUGACAGCAAGCUUAGUGGCGGACGGGUGAGUAACACGUGAGCAACCUGCCUUACAGAGGGGGAUAACGUUCUGAAAAGAACGCUAAUACCGCAUAACAUAUUGAGGGGGCAUCCACUUGAUAUCAAAGGAGCAAUCCGCUGUAAGAUGGGCUCGCGUCCGAUUAGCCAGUUGGCGGGGUAACGGCCCACCAAAGCGACGAUCGGUAGCCGGACUGAGAGGUUGAACGGCCACAUUGGGACUGAGACACGGCCCAG